CCAUUCCAGCACAUGGUAACAGUUGCAUGCUUAUCUCAUUAACCCCUAGACCAAGCAGCAUACAAAAACAUAAACAACAAAAAACAACGGUCACAAGAGCUUCUUCUCACCCUAAAUAGAGUUCCCCCUGGAAAGGCUGAUUCUCCAGAAAGAACAAAGAGAAAAGGAGUCACUCAAGGAUUGGAGAGCCCAUUAGGGCUUCUGGUGGCCACACAUUUCCUCCCAGUGCAGGACCACAUGUGGCAGCAAUCAAGCCUUUGGAACCACAACAGGAACAGGCCUUUUCUGCUUCUGAGAGGCCCAGAGAGCCACUGGCAUGCCACUGCAUGAGCUGGCCAUGGUGAGUGAAGGGCCACACCACUGAAGUGGCAGAGGAGGAGGAGGAGGAGCAGCAGCAGCAGCUACCUAGAUAUUUGAUAUCUGUCCAGUUAGGAAUGUUUACAGCAAUCCGUCUUGCAAGAUUAGAUUGGAUCAUUUUCAGUUUGUGGUUCCUGAGGAUGUGGACAAGCUGCUUGGACAGCUGUGAGUCUCUCCAGGAGUAUUUUCAAGAUCAUCACUCCAGCACAACACAAAACCAGCCAUGAUACAGAUUUUAAAAAAACAUGGUAAAGAAGAGUAAGGGAUACAAGGCAGGAAAUGGUCAUAGCACACACAGCUGAUGCCAGAGACAAGUGUCAAGCCAGGAAUAGAGUCACAAAUUAUCCCGAGAGAAUGAAAAACUGGGCGGAAACUAGCAAAAAUGAAAUUCAAGAGGAACAAAUGCAAAUUUCUUAACUUAGGCAAAAACAAAAGAAGAAAAAAGAUGGGAGACACUUGUCUUGGCAGUGGCACAUGUGAAAAUGAUUUCAAGAUGUUAGUCAAUCACAAGCUGAACAUGAGUCAGCAGUAUGAUGUAGCUGGAAAAAAGGCUAAUGUGAUUAUAGACUGCAUUAAUAGAACCAUGUCACUCUUCCAUACGGGAGCGGAGGGAGGCCAGCGGUGGUCUGGGUUCUGCCGCUGCUGAGGCCCCCUACCCCACCGUCUGUGUCGGACAUCAGAUGCAGGGACAUCAGAUGUGGAAGCAUGUUUUCACUCCCGAAUGGGGCCGCACGGCCCCAUUCGGGAGUUAAAUUGGCCUGUGCUGCAUUCGCAGUACAGCCAGGAGCUGCUCUCCUUGCUUUUAAAAGGCAGGGAGAGUCCACCCACGCUGCAAACGCAGCACUGGCCAAUUUAGCUCAAAAAUUGGGUUGCACAGUCCUGUUUGGGGGCUAAAUCACGCCCCCCACAUCUGACAUCAGAUGUGGGGGGCGUGUUGGGACACAAAACACAGCCGCUGAGGGGCAGCAGCCCAGGUUCUUUGGACCCAUUCUCCCAAUGGUGGCUCCGGCCCUGCUUCCACACUAAUACUUCAUCUGGAGUACUUUGUCCAGUUCUAGGCACCACACUUUAAAAGUUAAUUGGAGGUCAACAGAGAUGGCCAGGGAUGUGGAACACCACGCCUAUACAAAAAUGAUGGAAUAAUUGAGUAUGUUUAGCCUGGAGAAGAGAAGACUGAGCAGGGACAUGGUAGCAUUCUUCAAACACCUAAAGGGUUGUGACACAAAUCAAGGCAAAGACUUGUUCUGUGCUGCCUCAGAGGAUAGAAUCUAUAUAUAUAAUUUGCUUACAGAUGACCACGUUGAGGACUACGUGUGGAGGCGUCCGGAGCCAUGCAGAUGCCUAAAGCCAUUGCCUUGGGAGGCAGUGGCAGCGAGAGAGGCUGGUGGGACUCAGGGACCAGAAAACUCCGGCAAAAUCGGGGAACAGAGACAGAGGAAGAAGGGAGGCUGGCGGGAAUCGGCCGGCAUAUUUGGGAACAGAGGAAGAAAGGCAGCUGGGGCGGGACUCGGAGAACAACAAACAGAGCAAACAAAUGGAGUGGCAGCGAGUGAGAGAGGCAGGUGGAAUUGGCAGACUCAGGGAACAAAAAGGAAAGGAAAAGGAAAGGAACAAAAACCCAAAAACCCUCAGCUCCCAGUCACCCCUUCAAAACAAAACACCAGGGGACUGCAUGGGCCAGCCACUGGCAGUCACCCCCCCCAAAAAAAACCCCAGACAGUCUUCCUGACCCCCCCAUACAAAAAUAAAAUAACAUAAAGGGAGCCACAGCUCCCAGUCAUCCCACCAAAAAAAGGGACUCUGUGGGCCAGCAUUGCCUACAAUGCUGGGAACUGUGAGCACAAACAGCUGUGGGAGAGGGGGAGAGUUGUGGGAGGAGAGAGAGUGAGAGAGUUGUGGGGAUGAGAGAGUGAGAGAGUUGUGGGGAUGAGAGAGCGAGAGAGUUGUCGGGGGAGAGCGAGUAAGCAAGAGAGUUGUAGGGGGAGAGAGUAAGCGAGACAGUUGUGGGGGGAAAGUGAGCGAGAGAGUUGUGGGAGGAGAGAGCGAGAGAGUUGUGGGGGGGAGAGAGCAAGCGAGAGAGUUGGGGGGGAGCUGUGCAAAGACAAUUGCAGGAAAAUAACACAGACACAAGUACAAAAUGAAGAAUAGCCAAACAAAGCCACAAAACCCAUACAUUCACAGACUAAGUAACACAGAAAACCCAGCAUAAAUCAUCAAACAAACAGGAAGAGCAACACCUUUGCCCCAGCAAAAAAAAAAAAAAAAGUGAAAAUGCUUUGACCGCGACACAAAACUCUAAAAUGACCCACACAUACUAGAGACACUGUGCCCGGCAAUGCAGAAAUGACUACAGACAAAUCAUACAAACAGAGCAGCAAAACAAAGCCUCACUGCCUAUACACUAACAAGCUAAGACACAGAGAAACCCAAGCCAAAAUCAGCUAUAAGAAAAAACAGGAACAUCAACGGAGCAGCAAUGACAAAAACACCCCUGUGCAAAAACUUGAUGCCCCUGCGCCCCCACCCCCAAAAACCUAGAACAAAGUGUACUGAUGCGCAGAAAGGACUGCAGGAAUACAUCAGAUACACAGCUGAUACGGAAUAAACAACCAAACAAAUUCUCACAACUACACUCCAAAAAUAAGUAAACUACCGCACAGAUGCUCUGUGCAGGUUCAGCUAGUUAGAUCUAAUAGGCUUAAUUUACAAGAGAGUAGAUUUUGGGUGAACAUUAAGACAAAUGUAAUUGUAAGAACAGAUUGGCGAAAGAACAAAUUACUUGAAGUUAAUAGGUCAUCCCUUGUUGGAGGUCUUCAAGCAGAGGCUGGACAGUCAUUUACUGAAGGUUUGUAUUUCUUGCCCUGAACAGGGAAUUAGACUAGAAGGCUGCAGGCCCCCCUCGAAUUCUAUGAGGCUACAGCUGAAGUUUCUUUCUAAGGGGAGUAGGAAGCAAGGAGCACCUGAAUGCUAGAGACUGGCAAAACAGGAACACAGGCUAGGAACCACAGAAUAGGAGCUUGGGAACAGAGCUAAGUAGAUCAUUGCAUAGACAAAUCACUGGGGUUGAGUCAACCUGAAUUACCAGGAGAGUCUCAAAAUAGAGGUGUUUCUGAAAUUCAUAAUUCCUGACUUGGAAUGUGAGUCUCAGGGUCUUCUAAUGCUCACCUCAAAUAUAAGGUGAGCGUUGCAAUCCCACAAUUCUUCUCUAGCUCUGACUUCAGUCUGAGCUAGAAAAGAAUACAAUUCUUGCAAUCCUCCCCUCCACCCAGGCGCGGCCCGUGAAUGCGCCUCCGGGGUGGUGGUGGGCAGC